rnacentral:rRNA from 1 species
UACGUAGGGGGCAAGCGUUGUCCGGAUUUAUUGGGCGUAAAGAGCGUGUAGGCGGCUUGGUAGGUCUCGCGUCAAAACCUGAGGCUCAACCUCAGUUCGCGUGGGAAACCACCUAGCUAGAGUCCGGAAGAGGAGAAGCGGAAUUCCCGAGUGUAGCGGUGAAAUGACGCAGAUAUUGGGAAGAACACCAGUGGCGAAGGCGGUUCGUCUGGGACGGUACGUGACGCUGAGACGCGAAAGCGUGGGGAGCCGAACGAG